rnacentral:tRNA from 1 species
GGGGUUGUGGCUCAGUGGUAGAGCACUUGCGUAACAUGCAUGAGGCCACCGGGUUUCAUCCCCAGCACCA